UCCUGCCGCUUAUUGAGAAGUUUAAGUUCUACCAAGGUCCCUACCUGUUAACCUGUCAACCUGUCAUUACUUGAUGGUGUUCUCUAACCACCGGCCUGUUCGUCCUACUUUGUUGUCGAACACUGCUGCCUCCGGGGCGAACCUGACUUCGUGCGGGGGCUCCUUUCGGACACUUCCCCCUCUUGCGUAACUUUAGAGCCUGACUAAACUUACUUGCUUGAUUAAAACUUUGACCCUCGGAUCUGUUGGUUCUGGGGACUAUCAAGAACCCCACUGUGUGUUCUAAGACUCGAUGAUUGCUGAAUUCUGCGAAUCACCUUACCUUUCACCUUUCACUGCGCCCCUUGUCAUUGCCGGAGGCAUGACAGUUCGAGUUGAAUUUUUAACUGAUUUAGUCAAGUGCUAUUGACUGAAAUCUUCCCACCACAUGUCUCUUGUGUGUCGGCUGGGUCUUCUGUCCCCUAAGGCGUUAUGGAAACUAUUCGCUAAGAGGUGCUCCCGAGGAUACACCGUAAAACAAACCCAUUUCUAAGGAUGACCACGGAUCAGGUACGGAUACCCGCUGAACUUAAUCAUAUCAAUAAGCGGAGGA
rnacentral:rRNA from 1 species